rnacentral:rRNA from 1 species
UGCGCAGGCGGUUUUGUAAGUCUGUCGUGAAAUCCCCGGGCUCAACCUGGGAAUGGCGAUGGAGACUGCAAGGCUAGAGUUUGGCAGAGGGGGGUAGAAUUCCACGUGUAGCAGUGAAAUGCGUAGAUAUGUGGAGGAACACCGAUGGCGAAGGCAGCCCCCUGGGUCAAAACUGACGCUCAUGCACGAAAGCGUGGGGAGCAAACAGGAUUAGAUACCCUGGUAGUCCACGCCCUAAACGAUGUCUACUAGUUGUCGGGUCUUAAUUGACUUGGUAACGCAGCUAACGCGUGAAGUAGACCGCCUGGGGAGUACGGUCGCAAGAUUAAA